AUUGAACGCUGGCGGCAUGCCUUACACAUGCAAGUCGAACGGCAGCACGGGAGCAAUCCUGGUGGCGAGUGGCGAACGGGUGAGUAAUACAUCGGAACGUGCCCUGUAGUGGGGGAUAACUAGUCGAAAGACUAGCUAAUACCGCAUACGACCUGAGGGUGAAAGUGGGGGACCGCAAGGCCUCAUGCUAUAGGAGCGGCCGAUGGCUGAUUAGCUAGUUGGUGGGGUAAAGGCCUACCAAGGCGACGAUCAGUAGCUGGUCUGAGAGGACGAUCAGCCACACUGGGACUGAGACACGGCCCAGACUCCUACGGGAGGCAGCAGUGGGGAAUUUUGGACAAUGGGGGCAACCCUGAUCCAGCAAUGCCGCGUGUGUGAAGAAGGCCUUCGGGUUGUAAAGCACUUUUGUCCGGAAAGAAAUUGCUUCGGUUAAUACCUGGAGUGGAUGACGGUACCGGAAGAAUAAGGACCGGCUAACUACGUGCCAGCAGCCGCAGUAAAAC
rnacentral:rRNA from 1 species